AUUUAGGGUUCAGAUAUUCAAGAAGGAUUAGCUUAAAAUAUAGAAUUUCUAAGUGUUAGGAUAUCCAUAAAUUAGACUGUUCGUAUUGCAUGUUUUCUAAAGUAGCUAACUAAGAACUUGCCUAUAGAUUGGAAUCUUCCUGCAAGUCUGGAAGGUAUUAGACUUAGUGUCCCUGGUUUUCUUUCCACCUCUCUUUGGCAUCCAUAUAUAUUUACGAAAGAUUGAAAUAAUUUCUUGCGGUGUAGAGGGGUAG
rnacentral:lncRNA from 1 species